UACGGAGGGUGCAAGCGUUAUCCGGAUUCACUGGGUUUAAAGGGUGCGUAGGUGGGCAGGUAAGUCAGUGGUGAAAUCUCCGGGCUUAACCCGGAAACUGCCGUUGAUACUAUCUGUCUUGAAUGUAGUGGAGGUGAGCGGAAUAUGUCAUGUAGCGGUGAAAUGCUUAGAUAUGACAUAGAACAUCGAUUGCGAAGGCAGCUCGCUACACUAUUAUUGGCACUGAGGCACGAAAGCGUGGGGAUCAAACAGG
rnacentral:rRNA from 1 species